ACCUUUCCUCUGAGCUGUGAGCUAUUUGCCAGCCUCUUCUCAGCACCCAGUUUCCACCUUUGCCAAAGAUAGUGGAACAGCAGCCUCCCCUUUCCUUGGAGAAUGGGAUGGAGGGUGACGAGUCAGAUCCAAAGGCUGAAUUGCUAGAGACUGGGCUUCCGGAGAACUCCAAAACGAUCUAACUUCCAUGUGCUCUGUCCUCCAGAAUAUCAGAAAAAGUGAUCAGUCUUUCAGAGCCAGUGUCUGAACUGCAAGCUCCACGGCUGAUGAUAUAAGUAGCCCUUGCAAGGAACUGCUCUGUGACUCAGUUUCUCUGACGUGCCCUGACCUCGGUGUUGGAUGUGGCUUAUGAAUGCAGGACACUCAUACAGCAGCCCCUCCAAAUAAAGUUUUGUCUUUCAAUCAUA
rnacentral:lncRNA from 1 species